rnacentral:tRNA from 1 species
AGCAGCAUGGCGCAGGGGUUAGCGCGCGGGGCUCAUAACCCCAAGGUCACUUGAUCGAAACAAGUUGCUGCUA